rnacentral:rRNA from 1 species
UACGGAGAGUGCAAGCGUUGUUCGGAAUUACUGGGCGUAAAGAGCGUGUAGGCGGUUUUGUUAGUCUGAUGUGAAAGCCCGGGGCUCAACCCCGGAAGUGCAUUGGAAACUGCAUCACUUGAGUACUGGAGGGGAAAGCGGAAUUCCGAGUGUAGAGGUGAAAUUCGUAGAUAUUCGGAGGAACACCAUUGGCGAAGGCGGCUUUCUGGACAGAUACUGACGCUGAGACGCGAAAGCGUGGGGAGCAAAC